UGGAAACAGAUGCUAAUACCGGAUAACAACAGAUGAUGCCUAUCAACUGUUUAAAAAGAUGGUUCUGCUAUCACUCUUGGAUGGACCUGCGGUGCAUUAGCUAGUUGGUAGGGUAACGGCCUACCAAGGCGAUGAUGCAUAGCCGAGUUGAGAGACUGAUCGGCCACAUUGGGACUGAGACACGGCCCAAACUCCUACGGGAGGCAGCAGC
rnacentral:rRNA from 1 species